GAUGAACGCUGGCGGCGUGCCUAAUACAUGCAAGUCGAGCGAACAGACGAGGAGCUUGCUCCUCUGACGUUAGCGGCGGACGGGUGAGUAACACGUGGAUAACCUACCUAUAAGACUGGGAUAACUUCGGGAAACCGGAGCUAAUACCGGAUAAUAUAUUGAACCGCAUGGUUCAAUAGUGAAAGACGGUUUUGCUGUCACUUAUAGAUGGAUCCGCGCCGCAUUAGCUAGUUGGUAAGGUAACGGCUUACCAAGGCGACGAUGCGUAGCCGACCUGAGAGGGUGAUCGGCCACACUGGAACUGAGACACGGUCCAGACUCCUACGGGAGGCAGCAGUAGGGAAUCUUCCGCAAUGGGCGAAAGCCUGACGGAUCAACGCCGCGUGAGUGAUGAAGGUCUUCGGAUCGUAAAACUCUGUUAUUAGGGAAGAACAAAUGUGUAAGUAACUAUGCACGUCUUGACGGUACCUAAUCAGAAAGCCACGGCUAACUACGUG
rnacentral:rRNA from 1 species